CUUGUGUUUAAAACCAGGUGACAUCCGAGCGUUUCCACUUCAUAGACCAUAAAAAAACUGUUCAGCACGCCACAGAGUAUAGUGUUACUGGUUGCACAGCAUCGAGUUAAAAUAUUAUUUUUAUACAGUAACGCCAUCUGUUGAUACAAAAUGAAACUUUGACAGUAGUACAAGAUAACAUCGUCUUAAAAAGCCUUUCAAGUUUCAUGUAGACCUUUACAGAAGAAAUUGUAAAUUGUGCAUUGUAGUUUUAACUAAACCGCUGGCUCCGUACAAUUGGUAACGUACGAAGUAUUAAAAGU